CAGUCGCCGCGGUAAUACGUAGGGUGCGAGCGUUAAUCGGAAUUACUGGGCGUAAAGCGUGCGCAGGCGGUUGUGUAAGACAGGUGUGAAAUCCCCGGGCUUAACCUGGGAACUGCGCUUGUGACUGCACAGCUAGAGUAUGGCAGAGGGGGGUGGAAUUCCACGUGUAGCAGUGAAAUGCGUAGAGAUGUGGAGGAACACCGAUGGCGAAGGCAGCCCCCUGGGCCAAUACUGACGCUCAUGCACGAAAGCGUGGGGAGCAAGCAGGAUUAGAUACCCCCGUAGUCCCUGUCUCUUAUAA
rnacentral:rRNA from 1 species